rnacentral:rRNA from 1 species
UGGUGGAGCAUGUGGUUUAAUUCGAUGCAACGCGAAGAACCUUACCAAGACUUGACAUAUACGAGAACGGGCCAGAAAUGGUCAACUCUUUGGACACUCGUAAACAGGUGGUGCAUGGUUGUCGUCAGCUCGUGUCGUGAGAUGUUGGGUUAAGUCCCGCAACGAGCGCAACCCUCGUCCUAUGUUGCCAGCACGUAAUGGUGGGAACUCAUGGGAUACUGCCGGGGUCAACUCGGAGGAAGGUGGGGAUGACGUCAAAUCAUCAUGCCCCUUAUGUCUUGGGCUUCACGCAUGCUACAAUGGCCGGUACAAAGGGCUGCGAUACCGUAAGGUGGAGCGAAUCCCAAAAAGCCGGUCUCAGUUCGGAUUGAGGUCUGCAACUCGACCUCANGAAGNCGGAGUCGC